AUGUUAAAUCUAUUUAGAAAAAGAAGGGUUGGAAAAUGUUUUUCAAACUGUAACUUAAUGUUAGAAUCAACCCUGUUAGCAGGUUGGUUGAAAGAUCUGAAAGUUAAUUGGAGGUCUUGUUUGAAUAGUUAUGAACUGUUAAAUUCUAAAUGUGCGAGACUGUAUUUAACUGAAUUAUGUGAUUUGUUUCACGAAGGUAUGCAAUGCUGA